UACGUAGGGGGCGAGCGUUGCUCGGAAUCACUGGGCGUAAAGCGCACGUAGGCGGCUUUUUAAGUCAGGGGUGAAAUCCCGGAGCUCAACUCCGGAACUGCCUUUGAUACUGAAAAGCUUGAGUUCGGGAGAGGUGAGUGGAACUGCGAGUGUAGAGGUGAAAUUCGUAGAUAUUCGCAAGAACACCAGUGGCGAAGGCGGCUCACUGGCCCGAUACUGACGCUGAGGUGCGAAAGCGUGGGGAGCAAACAGG
rnacentral:rRNA from 1 species